AUCCAGCCGAAGAGUCCCGAAUAGGACGAAACGCGCGUCAAACUGGAU
rnacentral:hammerhead_ribozyme from 1 species